GUGCUCAGUUCGGCAGCACAUAUGCUAAAAUUGAAACAAUACAAAGAAAAUUAGCAUGGCCCCUGUGCAAGGAUGACAUGCAAAUUUGUGAAGCAUUCCAUACUUUU
rnacentral:snRNA from 1 species